GAAACUAAUGAGCCUGCCAUGAUUUCCAUAACUCUCAUUUGGAUAUUCAUUUACAGGUGCUAGUAACAGAAAGCUAAUUCUUUGACCCUAAAAUGGCUCCCUUCCCAGCUGCUUGUGUGGUGGUGCUUCAGGGUACAGGCUUGCUGUAGGCCCUGUGUACAAUUAGAAGAAGAUUUACUCCCAAAAAGCAGCUGUACAGUUCCAAAUAGGCUUCUUUCUGCAUGCCCACUGUCCUCAGAGUGUGGGGCACUGGGAAACAUCGAGGUUCAUUAAUGGCUUAUACCUGGGAACCCCCACACCCACUUAAAGAGAGAAGUUAAUUCAAACAGCUGCCUGGAGUAAGCUGGCUCUCUAGCUGAUUUUUUUUCUUUAUGGCUCACAUACAGGUUUUUUUUUGUUGUUUUGUUUUUUUUUUUCAUUUAAAAUGCUGCUAAGCUAGCUGUAAUCUCAUUAGAUGUGCCUGAACCAUGAGAUCCACCUGCAUCCUCAUUUAUAUAGCAUGAUGCCUCCAAACAUUCCAACCCCGUGAUCCCUUCUCACACUUUCCUGUGCAGUACACCUCCUGCUAAUGCCACAAAUUCUAUUUCUUGUUUCACUGUCAAAAUUCAGAUAGUGUUUAGAACUGCUUUGAUUCUCUUUUCUUUUGACAGCAGAACAAAAAAGAGGCCAAACUCACAUUGUCUGAGCUCACAAACAAGACCUGCUACACACAGUGCCUUUAUUCUGCUGCUGUUGAUGACAACCCAACCCAGCUGUGCAGUUCCAUGGACUACCUCCUGCAGCUCCUCCCUCCCCUCCCAUCACCUGUGUGGAUGUGAUAUACAAAUGCAAAUUGAUACCUAAGUUGGUGCAACCUGCUAAUGGAGAUUACCAAGACUACAAGGACAUUAUGCUUUCAAGAAACCAGCUAUGCUUUGCUGGUAAAAAUAAAAAGAAUUCGUAGUCCAAGGACUGCCUUUAUAUUCAUUUAGAAGGUGCUCAGCACAACAAAGGCACUAGCACCAGGUGUGCAGUGUUAUCAGGUGAGAGUUCAUACUUCACAUCAGAACCCUGUUCAUAUAAAUGUAACAUUAGAAAAGGACUGCGAACCAGUGGGAGAGUUGCAGCUGCAUUUUGUGUAACGCUGCGUUUAAACAGUUGAAACACAAUUUAGGAAUAAAAAGAUAAUGAAAAGAACAAUUAAGGAUGUUAUUUAAUCUUUUCUAUUGUCCUCCCAGACACCCCUUCACCAGAGAACCCGUGGAUACUAAUCCUGCUAAUACUCUUGACACUUUUACAUUCUGCUUUUUUUUUUUUUUUUUUUUUCAGGUCUUUUGAAAACAUCCAAGACUUUCAGCAUUUCUUCUACUUCUCAUUUCACUUCCCCAGAGUGUUGGUUCAGUGACUGAAGAUACACUUCCCUAAUCUGUGGACUACCUUUUUCUUUCUUAGUUGUUCUUCCUUUGUUUUGAGGAAACUUCACCUUACUGUGGCAAGCCCACAGCUCUGCGUCAUAUCCCAUUUCCUUUGGACUUUCAAUGCUUAUUCUGUAUUACAGUGAUCUUUUAUGAGUGUUAGUAACAGUGCCUUUUUGGAUUGAUGAGCACUCACAGCUUGGAUGUGACCUAUUGAUGGAAUAGGAAGUAUUAGCUGGAGGUGGGAAGAUGAGGUAACAAUAAUGCAGACAGUUUAGCGGAAUUGGUGACUUUUCACAAAGUCCUGCCAAAUAAAAGCUUUUACGUACAUCUUAA